rnacentral:tRNA from 1 species
GCCACCCUAGCUCAGUUGGUAGAGCAAUUCACUCGUAAUGAAUAGGUCUCCGGUUCGAGUCCGGAGGGUGGCUCCA